GACGAACGCUGGCGGCGUGCUUAACACAUGCAAGUCGAACGGACUUUUAAUGAAACCUAGUGAUUUAAAAGUUAGUGCGGACGGGUGAGUAACGCGUGGGUAACCUGCCUCAUACAGGGGGAUAACAGUUAGAAAUGGCUGCUAAUACCGCAUAAGCGCACAGUACCGCAUGGUACCGUGUGAAAAACUCCGGUGGUAUGAGAUGGACCCGCGUCUGAUUAGCUAGUUGGUAAGGUAACGGCUUACCAAGGCGACGAUCAGUAGCCGACCUGAGAGGGUGAUCGGCCACAUUGGAACUGAGAAACGGUCCAGACUCCUACGGGAGGCAGCAGUGGGGAAUAUUGGGCAAUGGGCGAAAGCCUGACCCAGCAACGCCGCGUGAGGGAAGAAGGGUUUCGGCUCGUAAACCUCUGUCCUAUGGGACGAAGAAGAUGACGGUACCAUAGGAGGAAGCCCCGGCUAACUACGUG
rnacentral:rRNA from 1 species